CCACCGGAUUCAAUUUAAUAAGCUUAGGCAAGGCCGAAAUAAUCUAUAAAAACACAGAAUUUCAUUCAAAUCCAGUUCCUUUGAAGUUUCAGUUCGAAAUGCUUAUGCAGAUCCAGAACAUGUCCAAUAGCAGCAUCCCUUACCGCACUGGUUUCAUAUGUGGUGUAAGAGAGUAGAACGUUGAGGAAAGUUAACUGUUUGGGUGGUUUCCUCAGAGUGAGAUCUCUCAACAAUCCAAGGGCCCAAGCUAAGUUUAAUAAACCGUGUUAAUAAAUAGUUGAAUCCAGAUGUGGGCAGACAUACCGGAUCGCUUUUCAUCCCUACAAAUGGCUUUUAUUUCUGUUAGCGCCUCAUCAGUAAUCAACGGUGAUUCCAGCAAUAAUCUGGAGAGGAUAAUUGCAUCAUGGGCUGAAGAUUGAAUAAAACUGCACAAAAGCAAA